rnacentral:rRNA from 1 species
CCUACGGGAGGCAGCAGUAGGGAAUCUUUCACAAUGGGCGAAAGCCUGAUGGAGCAACGCCGCGUGCAGGAUGACGGCCUUCGGGUUGUAAACUGCUUUUAUAAGCGAGAAAUAUGAUGGUAACUUAUGAAUAAGGAUCGGCUAACUACGUGCCAGCAGCCGCGGUCAUACGUAGGAUCCGAGCAUUAUCCGGAGUGACUGGGUGUAAAGAGUUGCGUAGGUGGCAUAAUAAGUAGCUAGUGAAAUCUGGUGGCUCAACCAUUCAGACUAUUAGCUAAACUGUUAAGCUCGAGACCGGUAGGGGUAAGUGGAAUUUCUAGUGUAGGAGUGAAAUGCGUAGAUAUUAGAAAGAACACCGAUAGCGUAGGCAGGUUACUGGGACGGUUCUGACACUAAGGCACGAAAGCGUAGGGAGCAAACGGGAUUAGAUACCCUUGUAGUC